GACGUAGGGCGCGAGCGUUGUCCGGAUUUAUUGGGCGUAAAGAGCUCGUAGGUGGUUUGUCGCGUUGUUCGUGAAAACUCACAGCUCAACUGUGGGCGUGCGGGCGAUACGGGCAGACUUGAGUACUGCAGGGGAGACUGGAAUUCCUGGUGUAGCGGUGGAAUGCGCAGAUAUCAGGAGGAACACCGAUGGCGAAGGCAGAUCUCUGGGCCGUAACUGACGCUGAGGAGCGAAAGCAUGGGAGCGAACAGG
rnacentral:rRNA from 1 species